UACGGGGGGGGCAAGCGUUGUUCGGAAUUACUGGGCGUAAAGGGCGCGUAGGCGGUCAGAUAAGUCAGCUGUGAAAACCUCGGGCUUAACCCGAGGCCUGCAGUUGAAACUGUUUGGCUGGAGUGUGGGAGAGGAGAGUGGAAUUCCCAGUGUAGAGGUGAAAUUCGUAGAUAUUGGGAAGAACACCGGUGGCGAAGGCGGCUCUCUGGACCGAGACUGACGCUGAGGCGCGAAAGCGUGGGGAGCAAACAGGG
rnacentral:rRNA from 1 species